rnacentral:rRNA from 1 species
UACGUAGGGUGCAAGCGUUGUCCGGAAUUAUUGGGCGUAAAGAGCUCGUAGGCGGUCUGUCGCGUCGGCUGUGAAAACACGGGGCUCAACUCCGUGCCUGCAGUCGAUACGGGCAGACUAGAGUUCGGUAGGGGAGACUGGAAUUCCUGGUGUAGCGGUGAAAUGCGCAGAUAUCAGGAGGAACACUGGUGGCGAAGGCGGGUCUCUGGGCCGAAACUGACGCUGAGGAGCGAAAGCGUGGGGAGCGAACAGG